rnacentral:rRNA from 1 species
UAGGAGGUAGUAUAAGGGGUUAGGCUCUACCCAAUUCUGGGAGCGGUGGUUGGGGAGGGAGGGGCAGAGGCGGGAGGGGUGGCGUGGCGUGGUUCGGGUGGCGAGGAGCGGCGGCGGGCGGGCGGGCGGGCUAGCGGCGGCGCGCGUCGGCUGACCGGGUCGCCGUGAGGAGCGCGGCGGGCCAGCGGCCUAAGGCGGCGGGAGGGAGGGGAGCGCGCGGCGCGCUCGACGGAACGUGUAGCGGAAAAGCACGAGGGACACAGUCAGGAGAGGGGCGGCGGUCGAGGCAGUCCAGGGGGCCGCAGCGAAGGGGGGAAGGGGCGGCGACGAGGAGUGCGGCAGCCGCGAGUCAAGCGGCCCCAACGCGGUCCUCUCAUGGCCGACAGACAGGCAGCUAGAUGGGAGGCACCGCGGUGAGCUCCCGACGCCUGUUGAUAGUAACUAAUAUAAUUGGCUCUCUGAUCAAACUUCGAAACCUAAGAGACAACUUCGUAGGUGUGUUUAGGAAACAAUCUUGUAUCUAUCGUCCUCCCGCAACUUUACACCGUCGAACGGAGGUAGGAAACAAUGAAGACUUAUGACUUCUCGAAUCGAAUAGUAUAAGGAGUUUUAAGUUCCAGUAUGACGAUACGUUAGACCUUACCUUGUUUGUUGCCCCCAUUCACCAGUACUUGUACAUUAACUAUAAGGUUCCCUAUCGCCAGGAAGCCGGAGCCGUAGCGUGUCACAACCAUCUCUCUUGGUACUUCUCAACUUAGGACACCUAUCCGGAAGUUGUUCUCGACGUUGCAGACGGAACGUCGGUGGUCGUCGUUAUCCAGGAGGAGUACGUCUUUUAUGAAGUCCGUGAUCCUCUGCACUAUUGAUACCAGCCGCUGUAUCCUCGGGAAACUUGAGACCUGAUACCUAAAGACAACUUCAAUAGCAAUUACAAUCGGUUUAACAACGACGGUAACAACACGAUAGGGACAGUUCCUUCCUUGUAGGUGUUCGAGGUAACAAACUCACCCAGUAUCCAAUGUGUCAGCCAACAAAACGGUGAAACGGUGUAGAAAUGACCGCGAUAUAUGUGGCAUUAUAACACUUGCCACUCUUACUCGGUCGUGUGAGUGAAGUCCCGAGGAGCGUCUUGUUGAGCUGACUCGGGUGAGGACGUUCACAUAGUCUUGCCGCUUCCUUACGACGUGCUUUACGUCAAGACCGAUUGGGUUCCUAAUUACGUGAAAAACUGGUGAAGUUCUACCGGAACCUAACAAAGAAACGGCACACCAAACAACAUCCUUUACACACCUAUAAGCCACCCGCAAGAAGCCGACAACUACGAGGUUUGAACAUGUCCAAUACGUAGCACAAGGAGUGGAAGUCGACAUAACCCAUACGGUACGGAAAGUAGGAGACACGUUACUAUACGACAACAGAGGGGACGUAAUAUAGGCAGUACCCGAAGUCUCUUCUGUGUUUGUUAUGUUCUCCCCGGUGAAGCCUUAGGUAGUUAUGAAACGGUUGAAUAUUUAAGUUUUGGUUCUUUGCGGCGGUACCAAGUCCAUUACUUCGGCUUCCGGUUCUCCCUCCAUAUCACCGACGUCCCUGACUGUUCCUCGCUAGCGAAAGACGACUUCUACGACAUACAACGGGACAGGGAAACAUAAAAAGAAUGGACGAAUAACGACGUUUUUACCUACAAGGUACAACGUAAGUGAAUGGCUGAACGGAAAAAAGCACGAAGGUCCAAACGACGUAGACGGAACGGUUCAUACGUGUGUUGCUUCUCGAAGCACUUGAAGGGACGUGUGUGACGAAGGUGUUCCUUACACAGCUGUUUACCGAGUUCUAUUUACGUGAUACGGGAGACACGUUUCGGCUCUAUCGUUCGAGUAGACCGUGUAGACUAUGAGCGGUGUAGCUGGUAUGUCAUGGCUGCGUCCUCUAGCUUUACGUAAUCUAACCAGACGGAAGGUAGAAGGCUCCACUAUGUAUUCGUAUAUCAAACGAGCGCCACGGCCAGACGUACAUAUUUCAACUACGAAAACUAGAUACCUAACAUCGCUACCACAGGGUUCCAAAAAAAACAGGAAAAAAAAUUAGAACCUCUUCAAUGUCGAGAAGAGCGACAGUUGUGAGAACUGUUACGUUUACGUCAUAACAAAGAUAAACCGCAAGGCGACUUGUACCUCUUUACGACCGGGUCCGGGUCCAUAUAUAUACAACGGAAAAGUGACACCAUGCCGGAUACAGA